rnacentral:lncRNA from 1 species
CUCAAAAUGUUGUGUUUUAUGAAACUGUCUUUCCAUUCAAAAUGGACAAAAUCAGCCAUCUUGAUACUAAUAUAAGCAACAUUGAUCCACUACUAAGUCCAAAUGAAUUGAGCUUUACUCAAAACCCUGUCAUUUCCAUUCCCAAUUUACCUGUUCAUGAUUAUUCUAGAGACGUUGUCGACUCCAAUACCACUUCAGAAGUAGAGGCAAUGCCUACUGAAUUACCACAUUCCCAAAACAAUGAACUGAUCAGUUCUGAAAAUAACUCCAGAACACAAACUGAAAUUCAUGACAAUAUCCAUACACACUUACCCUGAAGAUCAACCAGAACAAGGAGAGCUCCUGCUCAUUUGCAAGAUUUCAUAUGUCAGCAGUCAACUUCACUUCUUCCAUCUCAAAACUUGGACAAGCAGAAAGUCCAGAAUUUAUCAGGUAAUCCAUUUCCUUUGAGUGCCAGCAUAUCUUAUGAUAAGUUGUCUACACCACACAAGGCUUUUGUGACCUCCAUAACCUCACACACUGAACCUAAAACUUACCUAGAAGCCAGUACAUCACCCGAGUGGAUAGAUGCCAUGAAAGCUGAAAUUACUGCUCUUGAACUUAAUGAUACUUGGGUUAUUGUGGAUUUACCUCCUGAUAAAGAACCAAUAGGUUGCAAAUGGAUUUACAAAAUUAAAUUUCUAGCUGAUGGUAGUAUAGAAAGAUACAAAGCCAGGCUUGUUGCCAAGGGAUACACACAGCAGGAGGGGUUGGAUUACCAUGAAACAUUUUCUCCUGUGGCAAAAAUGGUUACGGUAAGAACCUUGUUAGCCAUUGCAGCAGUAAAAGGGUAGUUUUUGUAGCAAUUUGAUGUCAAUAACGCCUUCUUGCAUGGGGAUUUAGAGGAGGAGGUGUACAUGGAGUUGCCCCCAGGGUAUCCUAAUGAAAGUGGGAGAAAAGUAUGCAAAUUAAACAAAAGUUUGUAUGGUCUCAAACAAGCCUCACGCCAAUGGUACUCAAAGCUGUCAAAUUUCAUCAUUCACCUAGGAUAUAUUCAGUCCAGGGCAGACUACAACUUGUUUACCAAGGUCAUUGGUGAGUCCUUCACAGCUAUUAUAGUAGAUGUGGAUGAUAUAAUAGUUGCUGGAAAUGACAUGGAUACAAUUGAUCAAUUGAAAAGGUCCCUUGAUGCUCAAUUCAAAAUCAAAGACCUCGGUAAGUUGAAGUAUUUUCUGGGUAUUGAAGUGGCCAGGGCAGCAAAGGGGAUUUAUCUAUGCCAACGCAAAUAUGCUUUAGAUAUUUUAAGAGACUCGGGUACUAUUGGCUCUACUCCUGCAAAGAUUCCUUUAGAUCAAAAUGUGAGAAUGUCCAAAGAAGAAGGAGAGUUACUUCUUGAGCCUGCUCUUUACAGAAGGUUGAUUCGUAGAUUGUUGUACCUGACCAUAACCAGACUUGAUUUAGCUUACUCAGUCCAAGUGCUAAGUCAGUUUAUGGAGAAUCCAAGAAUGCCACAUCUGCAGGCAGCUCACAAAGUACUACGGUACAUCAAAAGGUCACCAGGGCAGGGUUUGUUCUAUUCGGCAGACUCUGAAAUCCAACUCAAAGGUUUUAGUGAUUCAGAUUGGGGGGCUUGUCCAGACACUAGGAGGUCUGUGACAGGCUACUGCGUGUUUCUUGGGAAAUCCUUGGUGUCUUGGAAGUCAAAGAAACAAAGUGUAGUCUCUAGAUCCUCUGCAGAGGCAGAGUACCGGGCAAUGGCAAAUGUCAGCUGUGAAUUGAAUUGGCUGAAGUAUUUAUUCAGAGAUUUACAGAUUGCUCAUCCACAGGCUGCAUCUUUGUACUGUGAUAACAGAUCAGCUAUACAUAUUGCCACCAAUCCCGUGUUCCAUGAAAGGACAAAACAUAUAGAGAUAGAUUGUCAUUUAAUUAGAGACAAUAUUCAAGAAGGUUGCAUUUCAACAGAGCAUGUGACAAGCAAACUGCAGGUGGCAGACAUUUUCACAAAGAGCCUAGGCUCACAAAGCUUUUAUUCGUGUUUGUCCAAGAUGGGAGUAGAAGACAUCUACUCUCCACCUUGCAGGGGGCUGUUGAAGAUUGAAGAAAAGAAUUACUGCAGACACUAGCCCACAUCUACUCAGCAGGUGAAGAAGUUUCCAGAAAGGAAUGACAAGGAUAUUCUAGAAUUAGGAUUAGAAAGAAUAUGCCAGAAGUUUGUUACAUUCAGCUGUAAAUUCUCCUCUUAGUUAGAAACCAACGGAUUUAUUUUAUUCCUCUGUAUUCUAUAUAUACAAUACUUGUACAGCAUUUUUUUCCCG